CCUACGGGAGGCAGCAGUGGGGAAUAUUGGACAAUGGGGGGAACCCUGAUCCAGCGACGCCGCGUGAGUGAAGAAGUAUUUCGGUAUGUAAAGCUCUAUCAGCAGGGAAGAAAAUGACGGUACCUGACUAAGAAGCCCCGGCUAACUACGUGCCAGCAGCCGCGGUAAUACGUAGGGGGCAAGCGUUAUCCGGAUUUACUGGGUGUAAAGGGAGCGUAGACGGUGCAGCAAGUCUGAUGUGAAAGGCCGGGGCUCAACCCCGGGACUGCAUUGGAAACUGUUGGACUGGAGUGCCGGAGAGGUAAGCGGAAUUCCUAGUGUAGCGGUGAAAUGCGUAGAUAUUAGGAGGAACACCAGUGGCGAAGGCGGCUUACUGGACGGUAACUGACGUUGAGGCUCGAAAGCGUGGGGAGCAAACAGGAUUAGAUACCCGGGUAGUC
rnacentral:rRNA from 1 species